rnacentral:rRNA from 1 species
ACAUCUUCAGUUGCCAUCAGGUUAUGCUGGGCACUCUGGAGAAACUGCCCGUGAUAAGCGGGAGGAAGGUGUGGAUGACGUCAAGUCCUCAUGGCCCUUACGGGUUGGGCUACACACGUGCUACAAUGGUAGUGACAAUGGGUUAAUCCCAAAAAGCUAUCUCAGUUCGGAUUGGGGUCUGCAACUCGACCCCAUGAAGUCGGAAUCGCUAGUAAUCGCGUAACAGCAUGACGCGGUGAAUACGUUCCCGGGCCUUGUACACACCGCCCGUCACACCAUGG